rnacentral:rRNA from 1 species
UAAGACGUAGGGGCCGAGCGUUGUCCGGAGUUACUGGGCGUAAAGGGCGCGCAGGCGGCCGGUCGCAUCGGCGGUGAAAGCCCCCCGCUCAACGGGGGAGGGUCCGUCGAGAUGGAUCGGCUGGAGGCAGGGAGAGGGCGGUGGAAUUCCGGGUGUAGUGGUGAAAUGCGUAGAGAUCCGGAGGAACACCAGUGGCGAAGGCGGCCGCCUGGACCUGACCUGACGCUGAGGCGCGAAGGCGUGGGGAGCGAACGGG